rnacentral:rRNA from 1 species
CAAUAAGCGGAGGAAAAGAAACCAACAGGGAUUGCCCUAGUAACGGCGAGUGAAGCGGCAACAGCUCAAAUUUGAAAUCUGGCUCUUUAGAGUCCGAGUUGUAAUUUGCAGAGGGCGCUUUGGCUUUGGCAGCGGUCCAAGUUCCUUGGAACAGGACGUCACAGAGGGUGAGAAUCCCGUACGUGGUCGCUGGCUAUUGCCGUGUAAAGCCCCUUCGACGAGUCGAGUUGUUUGGGAAUGCAGCUCUAAAUGGGAGGUACAUUUCUUCUAAAGCUAAAUAUUGGCCAGAGACCGAUAGCGCACAAGUAGAGUGAUCGAAAGAUGAAAAGCACUUUGGAAAGAGAGUCAAACAGCACGUGAAAUUGUUGAAAGGGAAGCGCUUGCAGCCAGACUUGCUUGCAGUUGCUCAUCCGGGCUUUUGCCCGGUGCACUCUUCUGCAGGCAGGCCAGCAUCAGUUUGGGCGGUAGGAUAAAGGUCUCUGUCACGUACCUCUCUUCGGGGAGGCCUUAUAGGGGAGACGACAUACUACCAGCCUGGACUGAGGUCCGCGCAUCUGCUAGGAUGCUGGCGUAAUGGCUGUAAGCGGCCCGUCUUGAAACACGGACCAAGGAGUCUAACAUCUAUGCGAGUGUUUGGGUGUCAAGCCCGAGCGCGUAAUGAAAGUGAACGGAGGUAGGAACCCGUAAGGGUGCACUAUCGACCGAUCCUGAUGUCUUCGGAAGGAUUUGAGUAAGAGCAUGGCUGUUGGGACCCGAAAGAUGGUGAACUAUGCUUGAAUAGGGUGAAGCCAGAGGAAACUCUGGUGGAGGCUCGCAGCGGUUCUGACGUGCAAAUCGAUCGUCAAAUUUGGGCAUAGGGGCGAAAGACUAAUCG